CCUACGGGAGGCAGCAGUGAGGAAUAUUGGUCAAUGGCCGUAAGGCUGAACCAGCCAAGUAGCGUGAGGGAAGACUGCCCUAUGGGUUGUAAACCUCUUUUAUGCGGGGAUAAAGGUGUCCACGUGUGGAUGUUUGCAGGUACCGCAUGAAUAAGGACCGGCUAAUUCCGUGCCAGCAGCCGCGGUAAUACGGAAGCUCCGGGCGUUAUCCGGAUUUAUUGGGUUUAAAGGGAGCGUAGGCCGGUCUUUAAGCGGGCCGUGAACUUUUGUGGCUCAACCAUGAGAGUGCGGCGCGAACUGGAGGCCUUGAGUGAGCGGAAGGCAGGCGGAAUUCGUGGUGUAGCGGUGAAAUGCUUAGAUAUCGCGAAGAACCCUGAUGGCGAAGGCAGCCUGCCGCAGAGUUACUGACGCUGAAGCUCGAAAGCGAGGGUAUCGAACAGGAUUAGAUACCCGAGUAGUC
rnacentral:rRNA from 1 species